rnacentral:lncRNA from 1 species
GCUCCAUGAUAUCAGGUAUCUUACUUAUGUUGUUCAUUGGUGCCUUAUUUCUUCUUUUGUUUGUUUGAGACGGAGUCUUACUCUGUCGCCCAGGCUAGGGGGGAAAAACUUGUGAACCUGAAGGAGCUGGCUGACGAGGCCCUGCAGAAGUGUCAGGAGAAGUAAGUGUGUUUGGCUACUGUCUGAGUUGACUGAGCCUUUCCCCAGUGCCGUCACAACGCCAGCUCCACCCUCCCCAACACAUUGGGCUCUAGGUCUCUGCCACCUAGGAGGCCUGUGGUAGGAGAAACAGGCUGCCCACGUACCACAU